ACAAACUUGGUCAUUUAGAGGAAGUAAAAGUCGUAACAAGGUUUCCGUAGGUGAACCUGCGGAAGGAUCAUUAUUGAAUUCAUUAGUUGAGUUGUUGCUGGUUCCGAAAGGUUCAAGUGCACGCUUGACUCUUGUCUAUUUCCACCUGUGCACUCUUGUAGUCAAGUUAUUUGUGGUUUGCUAAAUGUUGCAGUGGGGUUUGGCUCCGGUCUUUCCCUGGCACAUGCGGCUUAUCCAACUUGGCUAUGUUAUUUUAACUCUAUUGUAUGUCUAGAAAGUCAUUUAUUGGCUGAAAGGCCUUUAAACCAAACACAACUAUUGACAACGGAUCUCUUGGCUCACGCAUCGAUGAAGAACGCAGC
rnacentral:misc_RNA from 1 species